CCUACGGGAGGCAGCAGUGAGGAAUAUUGGUCAAUGGGCGGGAGCCUGAACCAGCCAAGUCGCGUGAGGGAAGACGGUCCUAUGGAUUGUAAACCUCUUUAGGCGGGGAGCAAUGCCGGGCACGCGUGCCCGGAGGGAGAGUACCCGCAGAAUAAGCAUCGGCUAACUCCGUGCCAGCAGCCGCGGUAAUACGGAGGAUGCGAGCGUUCUCCGGAUUUAUUGGGUUUAAAGGGUGCGUAGGCGGAUUUUUAAGUCAGCGGUAAAAUGUGCGGGCUCAACCCGGGCCGGCCGUUGAAACUGGGGAGCUUGAGUGGGCGAGAAGUAUGCGGAAUGCGUGGUGUAGCGGUGAAAUGCAUAGAUAUCACGCAGAACUCCGAUUGCGAAGGCAGCAUACCGGCGCCCGACUGACGCUGAGGCACGAAAGCGUGGGGAUCGAACAGGAUUAGAUACCCGGGUAGUC
rnacentral:rRNA from 1 species